rnacentral:piRNA from 1 species
AGAGAAAUCAUUGGAUGAUUUGGUCCAAA